GAUGAACGCUGGCGGCGUGCCUAACACAUGCAAGUCGAGCGAUUUACUUCGGUAAAGAGCGGCGGACGGGUGAGUAACGCGUGGGUAACCUGCCUCAUACACAUGGAUACCAUACCGAACGGUAUGCUAAUACAAGAUGAUAUAAGAGAUUCGCAUGGAUUUCUUAUCAAAGCUCCGGCGGUAUGGGAUGGACCCGCGUCUGAUUAGCUAGUUGGUAGGGUAACGGCUUACCAAGGCGACGAUCAGUAGCCGACCUGAGAGGGUGAUCGGCCACAUUGGGACUGAGACACGGUCCAAACUCCUACGGGAGGCAGCAGUGGGGAAUAUUGCACAAUGGGCGAAAGCCUGAUGCAGCAACGCCGCGUGAGCGAUGAAGGCCUUCGGGUCGUAAAGCUCUGUCCUCAAGGAAGAUAAUGACGGUACCUUGCGAGAAAGCCACGGCUAACUACGUGCCAGCCGCCGCGGUAAGAC
rnacentral:rRNA from 1 species